UACGUAGGGUGCAAGCGUUACUCGGAAUUACUGGGCGUAAAGCGUGCGUAGGUGGUUUGUUAAGUCUGUUGUGAAAGCCCCGGGCUCAACCUGGGAAUGGCAAUGGAUACUGGCAGGCUAGAGUGCGGUAGAGGGUAGUGGAAUUCCCGGUGUAGCGGUGAAAUGCGCAGAUAUCAGGAAGAACACCCGUGGCGAAGGCGGCUCUCUGGGACGGUACUGACGCUGAGACGCGAAAGCGUGGGGAGCGAACAGG
rnacentral:rRNA from 1 species